rnacentral:rRNA from 1 species
GACGAACGCUGGCGGCGUGCUUAACACAUGCAAGUCGAACGGCGAAGCGCUUUCCUUUUUGGCGGGUGUGGAUGAGUGGCGAACGGGUGAGUAACACGUUCGUAACCUGCUCUCUCGUUCUGGAUAACCGAAUGAAAGUGUGGCUAAUACGGGAUACUCUGUGUCUGUCGCAGGAUGGGUCUGGGGAAGCUAUUGCUUUGGUGGGGGCUGGGCUCGCGGACUAUCUGGUUGUUGGUGGGGUGAUCGCCUACCAAGGCGGCGAGGAGUAGCCGGCAUGGGGGGGUGAGCGACCACAGAGGGGAGGAGACGUCGCGAAGACUCCGACGGGAGGCAGCAGGGAAGAAUAGUGCACGGUGGGCGGAAGGCUGCUGCAGCACCGCCGCGUGGGAGAUGGAGGUCUGCUGGUUGAGACCUUCUUUUGGGAGUGAAGCAGAGCUGCCUAGUAUGUGGCUGGGUUGACGGUACCUGGAGAAGAAGCACCGGCUAACUACGUG